CAACUCAAUUGCAUUGUCAGUUUUUUUCUCAAUUGCAUUGUGAAUUUCUAAUUUGCAAAUUGUGUUUCUGAUUUCGUUUUUUUUGUGGGUUCAUGUUCUUGGUUACAUUUUUUGGGAUUUGCUGUUAAGUUUCAUUUUGAACUCAUUAUCAGAUGUGCUUUUCUUACCUGUUCACUUGUUUGUAGCAUGUGUGUUGUGCUUUUCAUGAAUAUAUUUUUAUUUUUUUAAUUUUCUACAUUCAAUCUCAUCCCUUUUUUGAAUGUUGAUGUCAUUGAGAGAAUUUUACUCAUGUUUGUAUAUACUUUUUUUUUCCACGCAUCUUCUGUUUUCAAUGUAUCCUUACCUAACAUAUUUGCCAACUGUUAUAGUCAUGAGUAGAAUCAUUGUUUCCGGUACUUGAUUACUGCCUUCGCUAUGGUCUUAUGGCGUGUAGAUGCACUGUAGUUGGUAUGGUCUCAUAUCUCAAUUUCUGGUCCCUAUUUCUUGAUUUAUUGAAAGUUUCACUUGUUUUCUGUGUUUUUGUGUUGGUUCAUGUUUUGCUCCUAUUAUUAGUUGUCUCUAUGCCAUUGAAUAGAGAUCAGAAUGUGGUAAUGCCUAUCAAGCUGUUGGAUGGACAUACACCUCCUUGGCCCCAAGUUAAGAGGUUCAUUCAGAAAAGAAUGCCCUUCUGCCAGUAAAAUGGCUUCAUGGUGUUCUUUUUCUAACUAGCACAUGUGUUUAGCCAAAGAAAAAAGUAUCCAGCAGUUGGUCUCCCCAUGAAACUGUGUUCUCCACACCUAAUAAGGUUGUGCUAUAGAUAUUUUUUUAUUGGAAACUGGAAAUUUUGGAAUCAUUAUCAAGGUAUGAGGUUUCAGUCUGAUCCUUUUCAUGAAUGUUGAUGUGAUUGACUGAUUUUUAUUCAUGUUUGUGUAUGCUUUUGUUCCGUUUUAUCUGCUGUUUUGAAUGUAUCCCUACCUAACACAUUUACCAACUCUGAUUGCCAUCGCUAGAAUCAUUGUUUGGGGUAGUUGGUGACUGCCUUCCAUGUGGUCUAGUGACAUGUAGCUGGAUUGUAGUAGGUGAGGUGUGAUAUCUCAAUUUUUGGUCCCUAUUUUUAGAUUUCUCCAAAGGUUCAGUUAUUUUUCCUGUUUUUGUGUUGGUUCUGCUUUUGCUGCUAUGAUUAGUUAUCUAUGUGCUAUUGAAUGUUGAUGAGAAUGUGGGAAUGGCUAUCAAGGUAUGGGCUUUCUAUCUAACCUAUUUGGUGAGUUGUGAUGUGAUUGAUUUGAAUUGGUUCAUAGCUUCUUCCUCAUUAAAUGAAAGAUUUGGUUAUUCAAUUCUUUUGUGGGUUUAUCUUCUUGGUUACAAUUUUUGGGGGUUGGUGUUAACUUUCAGUUUGAACUCAUUAUCAGAUCUCCAUUUUGUUACCUGUUAUAUUGUUUGUUGCAUGUGUUUUGUUUUUUUCAUGAAUAUCUUUUUAAAUUUUUUAGUUUCUGUAUGUUCAAGAAAUCUCUUGAGUUUUUAAACUGUUUUUUGUAUACAGAAACAUGUCCCGUUAUCUAUGUUUGAUGUAGUAUUCCCAUGAAAAUGUGGUAUGGAUACAUAAUAAGGUUGUGCUGUAUAUUCUUCAUUUGAUAAUUCGAAAUUUGGGAAUCAUUAUCAAUGUAUGAGGUUUCAAUCUCAUCCCUUGCAUGAAUGUUUAUGUCAUUGAGAGAUUUUUACUCAUGUUUGUCUAUACUUUUUUUUCCCACUCAUCUAAUGUUUUGAAUGUAUCCUUAUCUAACCAAUUUAUACCAAUUCUCAUUGUCAUGAGUAGAAUCAUUGUUUGGGGUAUAUGAUUACUGCCUUCCCUAUGGUCUUAUGACGUGUAGGUUUACUGUAGUAGUUGUGGUCUCAUAUCUCAAUUUCUGAUCCCUAUUUCUUGAUUUCUUGAAAGUUUGACUUUUUUUACUGUUUUUGUGUUGGUUCAGAUUUUGCUCCUAUGAUUAGUUGUCUCUAUGCCAUUGAAUGGAGAUGAUAAUGUGGGAAUGCCUAUCAAGCUGUUGGAUGGACAUACACCUCCUUGUCCUCAAGUUAAGAGGUUCAUUGAGAAAAGAAUGCGCUUGUGCAAGUAGAAUGGGUUCAUGUUGUUGUUUGUCUAACUACCACAUGUCGUUAGCCAAAAAAAAAAAGUAUCCAGCACUAGUAUGAGGUUUCAUUAUCAUCCAUUUCAUGAAUGUUGAUGUGAUUGACAGAUUUUUAUUCAUGUUUGUUUAUACUUUUGUUCCCAUUUAGCUGCUUUUUCUAAUGUAUCCCUACCUAAGACAUUUACCAACUCUAAUUGCCAUCACUAGAAUCAUUGUUGAGGGUAGUUGGUGACUGCCUAUUUUAUUAUUUCUCGAAAGUAUCACUUCUUUUUCCUAUUUUUGUGUUGUUUCAGCUUUUGCUGCUAUGAUUAGUUGUCUAUGUUCCAUUAAAUGGGAUGAGAAUGUGGGAAUGCCUAUCAUGUGUGAAAAAAUUCAAGCUACAGUCAAGAAACCACUCCUUAAUAGGUUUAGGGAUCAUAUAGUUGAAGGACAAGUUUAUAGAAUGACAUAUUUUGCUAUUGUGUCAAAUCAUGGUAGUUAUAGAGCAACUUCUCAUGAAUUCAAAUUGGUUUUCCUUCACCGAACCACUGUUGUAGCUGUUGAUGAAGAUGUUAUCCCUAAGACUUGUUUCAACAUGUUUCCUUUUUCUGAGCUGCUGAACAUGACCCAAGAUUAUGAUUUUUUAGUUGAUGUCAUUGGUCUUUUAACUUCAGUCGGAGAAGAGAAAGAAUAUGCAAAAGAGGGAAAAAUUGUGAAAAUGAUUGCAUUGGAAUUAACUUCAAAAGAUCUUACAGUGCGAUGUGCAUUGUUUGGGGAUUAUGUUAAUCAAGUAAAUCAUUUCCUUGCCUCUGGGUAUGUGGAGCAGCCUGUUGUAGUCAUUCAACUUGCAAAAGUCAAGUUCUUUAGGGGAGGGUUCUUUUAUCAUUUUUGGUGCAAUCCAAGGUAUUGUUGAGGAUGGAGGUUGGUGGUAUUCUGCUUGUGUGUGUGGAAAGGGUAUCUAUCCUCAAAAUGGUGCCUAUUACUGUGAUUUUUGUUUGAAGCACAUAACUAAUGUCACUCCAAGAUUUAAAAUUAAAGUAACAGUUGAAGAUCAUACUGGGGAGGGUAUUUUCCUUCUCUUUGAUCGUGAGGCUUCUUAUUUGCUUAAGAAAUCAUGUGCUGACUUGUUUACUGAGGUUCAAAGAGAUGCAAGUCUUAUAUGUGGGGAUACUUAUCCUCCCAUACUCCAAGGGCUCAUUGGAAAGUUGCUGCUCAAGGUUGAUACCAAAUGUGUCCCACAUGAUACAUUUUAUGGGACUUUCCGAGUUAGGAGAAUUUGUGAUGAUUCCACCAUUAUUGCGAUGUUUGAACUUCCUAAUUAUGAUGCUGAUGAUGAGUCUACUCCAAAAAAGGAGCAUGAUUUACACAAAUCUGUUCCUCGUGGAAAAGCGGAUGUUGGUAUUAAGAAGGAGUCUUCUAAUAGUUUUAUCAAAAGUGAGAAAGAUGCUGGUGAGUGUUCUGGGAUUUUGUGUAAAUCCCCCGUUCUUAUAGAUUUUUUGGCUGAAAAAUAGCCUGUUGUUUCCGGGGGGACUGAGUUUGUUGGCUUAAUUGAUGGUGAGCAUGGAAAAGAAGACAAAACUCCCAGCAAUGAUACUGUUAGUGAUGAUCUUUCUGCUGAAUUGGAUAUAUUGCUUAGCUCAGCAGAAAAAGAAACUCAGGAGCUGUUGUCCGAUGUUCUUGAAGCACCUUCGCAAAAUGGAGAGAAGCUUACCCAUGAAAAUCAUGUUGUCACCUCCAAGGGUAAGAGGAAUUUGAAUCCUCAAUUUGAAGAGGCUGCUGUUGAUGCAGAUGGGCGUGGGUUCAAGGUUGCCAAGGUUAAUGGAGUUUGAUUGAAGGUGUGGAAUUGAGCUGCUGUGUCUAGGUGUAGGUGUCUUAUAUAGUUUAUCUAUAAGUAUUUAGGAAGGCUUGUGAUUCCAAAUAGAUGGACAUGUAAUCAUGCUGGCUGGAUGGUAUUUUGAUUUGACUUUUUUGGAUUGUGUCCAACAAAUAGGAUUGUCAGAUAUAGGGGUUUUUCUUUUGUGAUGGCUCGGGUAAUGUGCCAAGUAUGUCUAUUCUCAACUCCUCCUUUUGUAAUAGUGACUUUGCUAGGGAUUGGACACAUUUUCAAUGUUGUACCCUCUUUAGGUUACAUACUAGGAUAUGUAGUCAGAUGUUGGAAUCCUCCUUAUCAUAGGGGAGAUAGCCAUAUGUAUUUGUGUAGAUCACUAUCAGUGAAAUUUUAAUGAAAUGCAGCAGUUCUUAUUUUGUAUU